rnacentral:tRNA from 1 species
GUUCUUAUAGUUGAUUACAACGACGGCUUUUCAGGCCGUAGGUCUUGGAGAGAUGCCAAGUGGGAAUU